CCUCAAGAUGCUGUAGUACUGGAUUUAUUAGGUCUCAGCUUUAAUGUCACCUCCUCAGGAAGUCUCCCUUGAUUACUCACUCAAGGCUCUACCUUUCGCUGCUGAGGCCAGAGUUCACCGACAGAGGGUGGCUGACCCAGAUCCCAGCCCCUCCCAUCUGUGAUGCGUCUGCCCACCAGCCCCCGAGUGUUCAGGACUAAA